ensembl:snoRNA
UGUAUGUGUGCCUUUGUUUCAUAAUUUGUAACAAAGCCAUAUAGACAUGCAAACAGCAAAUCCUCUACAACCUAGAACUCAUUGUUGAAUAUGAGUUUGGCACAUGUAAGAAAGAAUAUG